rnacentral:piRNA from 1 species
UGGUGCUGUCUUUGUGAAGACUUCAUGA